CUGUGUUGCCCAGGCUGGUCUCAAACUCCUGACCUCAACUGAUCCACCCACCUUGGCCUCCCAAAGUGUUGAGAUUACAGGCAUGAGCCACUGCGCCCAGCCAAUCAGAGCUUGUUGUAGCAGGAAGUCAACCACCAUCACUUGCUUUUGGCAGAGACUUAGAGGCAGGCAAAGGAAUGGGAAUGCUCUGUAGUGGAAAAAAAGGCUUCAGGGAUGCUCCCAUUGCAGGCUGUUGGCAUGGGGAAGCUGUUGGUGGGCUAACUAGAAGCAUGACACCUGGCUGGGCACGGUGGCUCACACCUGUAAUCCCAACACUUUGGGAGGCUGAGGCGGGCAGAUCUUCUGAGACCAGGAGUUCAAGACCAGCCUGGCCAACAUGGCAAAACCCUGUCUCUACUAAAAAUACAAAAAAUUAGCCAGGCCUGGUGGCACACACCUGUAAUCCUAGCUACUCGGGAGGCUGCAGCAGGAGAAUUGCUUGAAGCUGGGAGGUGGAGGCUAUGGCAGGAGAACUGCUUGAACCUGGGAGGUGGAGGCUGCAGUGAGCCGAAAUUGCACCACUGCACUCCAGCCUGGGGAACAAGAGUGAAACUCUGUCUCAAAAAAGAGUGGGACAUCCUAUGUGAUUGGUUAGGAGUACAUAUUUGGCUUUCUCCGGUUGGUCCUAAGUUGGAAGCAGGGGCAAAAAUUAGGGCAGCUAUCAGUUAUUAAUCAAGUCCUGGCUUUGGAGGCCAAUUGUUACAGUGGUCAUUAUUUGGCUUGCUGGACUGGUUGGUAAAGAUAGUGGUCUGACUUCCUACAAGUCUGACUUGUGGAUAGUAGGCUGGCUUCCUGUGCUGGUUGCUGCUAUUGUGCGUCAGAGUUCUGUUUUUCUACAUGGUCUAGCCAUUGUCUGUUUGUAUAUUCAGCCUCUCCCAGGCAAGGGCCACUGUCAGUCACUUCACCCCUGAUGUAUAUGGAAGCCAUUUGGUCCUUCACUGUCAGGUGUCUCUGCUCCAAAGCAGAGUGGAAGAGCCUAGGCAACACAGGGAGACCCUGUUUCUACAAAAAAUAAAAAAUAAAAAUUAGCUGGACAUGGUGGCAUGUGCCUAUAGUCCCAGCUAAUCAAGAGGCUGAGGCGGAAGGAUCACUUGAGGCCAGGAGAUCAAGGCUGCAGUGAGCCAUGACUGCGUCACUGUGCUCCAGCCUAGGUGACAGAGCAAGACCUUGUCUCAAAAACAACAAGACCACCACCACCAGAGUAGAAGGCACUGGCCAGGGAUAAGGCAGCCAACAACAAGCAGGUGAGGGAAGAUUUGGAGAGGAAGAGAACUUCCCUGGUUUCCCUGAAGUUCUCACUUUGUCUGAGUCAGGCUGACCUUGAGGAACCCUGACAUCUGGGCCAUGAGACAUCUUGGGGAUGACUUUCAACCUUCAGAUGAAAGAAGCAGGUCUAGAGAAGUGUUGCUUCCUUCACUCUGAUCCAAAUGGGGAGUCAACCAGGCACCAGGGCUCAAUCAACAGCAAUAAACAUCACUGUCUGAGGUCAACUGGCUUGCUCAGCUCUCUGUUAUCAGGCACUGCCACCAGCAGCACUUCUAUCAGAGUGCGAGCUCCUCAAGGUUAAAGGCAUUUGAGAAGGGCUUACCAAGAGUCCAGACACUAGACAAAGUUACUUGUGCAGUCUGCUUUCAGACACUGGGAAUGAAGUCUUCCUCCCUACCACCAAACUUGGGGGGAAAAAACAAAAAAAAACCUCUAAUCCAAUCCUUGGUCUGCAGGUAAGCUAAAGUGCAGAUUCCUGAGGAGGAUCACAGAAACUUCAGUACUCUGGUCUACCUUUCAGUGUGAAUGAGUUCCAGCCCUAUUCUUGAAAAUUGUUAUUGGAACAGAGCAGGUAGGCCCUGAGGCAUAUUGAAGGGAGUUAAUGAUUAUGGAGUGAUGCAGGGUGCCUGACAGCAUUGGACAGGAGGGUAUGUUUUCUCAUGUUGGUCUCACAAUAACUAUGUAGAGCCACUCUUACCCCCAUUGUACAGAUGAGGAAACUGUUGCCUUAAAAUACAAUUUUUUUGUAAUAAAGUCAUGCUAAUUUGUUUACAUAUUGUCUAUAGUUGCUUUCACUGGCAAAACCUAAAAUGUUUACUAUCUGGCCCUUUCUAGAAUGUUUGCUGACCUUGUUCUGAAUUCUUCAAGCUCUAAAUUUACCUCUGUAGAGAAAAACUAAAAACAAAACAAAAACCCAACUAAUUCACAUUCUUUCCUGGGCUUUUAGAAAAAGAACUGAUUUGAUAAAUGGCCAAGGACCAACCCUCCCC
rnacentral:lncRNA from 10 species